GAUGUUUGUUUGUGUUUCUUCCACCCAGAGGGAGCAGCUGCUCUGAGCCAUGCAUCCUCGGGUCAAGAUCUAUUUAUUGCUUUGCUCUUAGGAACAGGGCACCAUUUGAAAGGAGGGAUUUCUGGGUUAGCGUUAAGGGUGGAGAUGACGCCCGUCAUUUGGUGCAACGCAGACCCGGUGUGGAGCGUGGUGAAACAGAGGUGUCAGAGACCGUCCUUUUGAGUUGCGAAUUAGAGUCUUUACCGACAAAGUCAUCUCCUCCCAUCAGCCUCCACUGAUCAGUUAUCCUGUUAGAGCUUUUGUGCUGAAUCCACUACAGUGUUUCAGGCAGUGUGUCCAAUCUGUCCAUCCUGAUCAAGUCCUCUAGCCCUAAAUCCUUCAUUUUGACACCACCUCACAUCAGAGCAGCUUGCAGUACAGCAUUGUUUUUUGCCUUCAUAAUCAUGUUGUGUCUGGUGAGAUUCUGGGGCAGCUGAUUUGCAUGUGUUGUUUUUCUAUGCUGGGUCUAGAAUGGUGCCCUACACCCUAUAGUGCACUUCUUUUGAACAGGGCCGAGUGCCCAUUGGGCUCUGGUCAAAAAGUAGAGGUCGACCGAUUAAUCGGAAUUGCCGAUUUAAUUAGGGCUGAUUUCAAGUUUUCAUAACAAUCGGAAAUCUGUAUUUCUGGACACCAAUAUUUUUUUUAAACACCUUUUAUUUAAUCUUUAUUCAACUAGGCAAGUCAGUUAAGAACACAUUCUUAUUUUCAAUGACUGCCUAGGAACGGUGGGUUAACUGUCUCGUUCAGGGGCAGAACGACAGAUUUUUUCUUUGUCAGGUCGGGGGAUUCAAUCUUGCAACCUUACAGUUAACUAGUCCAACGCUCUAACGACCUGAUUACAUUGCACUCCACGAGGAGACUGCCUGUUACGUGAAUGCAGUAAGCCAAGGUAAGUUGCUAGCUAGCAUUAAACUUCUCUUAUAAAAAACAAUCAAUCAAUCAUAAUCACUAGUUAACUACACAUGGUGUAGUUCAAGCCUAUCAACUCCCGAGAUUAGGCUGGUGUAACCGAUGUGAAAUGUCUAGCUAGUUAGCGGGGUGCGUGCUAAUAGCGUUUCAAACGUCACUUGCUCUGAGACUUGGAGUAGUUAUUCCCUUUUCUCUGCAAGGGCCGUGGCUUUUGUGGAGCGAUGAGUAACGCUGCUUCGAGGGUGGCUGUUGUCAUUGUGUUCCUGGUUCGAGCCCAGGUAGGAGCGAGGAGAGGGACGGAAGCUAUACUCUUACACUGGC
ensembl:lncRNA